rnacentral:rRNA from 1 species
GUGCCAGCAGCCGCGGUAAAACGUAGGUGGCGAGCGUUAUCCGGAUUUACUGGGCGUAAAGCGUGUGCAGGCGGACGACCAAGUGGUGUAUGAAAUCUCUCAGCUUAACUGAGAUAGGUUAUGCCAGACUGGUGGUCUAGAGUACGAGAGAGGGACGUGGAAUUCCGGGUGUAGUGGUGAAAUGCGUAGAGAUCCGGAGGAACCCCAGAGGCGAAGGCGGCGUCCUGGCUCGAUACUGACGCUCAGACACGACAGCAUGGGGAGCGAACGGGAUUAGAAACCCCCGUAGUCC